rnacentral:misc_RNA from 1 species
AUUGCCAUGCAGUACAGUUAGAUGUUAGAGUACUCUAUUCAUCUCAACCUCUUGACCAUUUAGAAAAAAAUGCUUGCCAUUUAUAUGACAUUUCUUUUAAAUAGGAAACCAUAAAUGGCUUUUGCUUAUUGAACUUUUCUUUCUUUUUUCUUUAAAUUUUAUUUUAUAAGUACUAUGAAAGGAAAGGUAUUUGACAUUCACACAUUUAUCUAUUCUUAUAAAUAGAACUGCUAUCUUUCUUGUGAUAGCUAUGCUUAUAUUUUAUUCUUAUGGAUUUAUAAUUUAAGCUCUAGCAGCAAAUAGUUCAAUGUCCUGUAAGCUUACAUAGAGUAUUUAAUAAAGUAAUGGUGGAGAAAAAUUCUUACUUAUUCUUACUUUAGGAUUGUGUUGUAUUUUUAAUUUCCUUAUUUGUUACAUAGUUAGGAAG